rnacentral:misc_RNA from 1 species
UCCGAUUUGUCACCUGUGCUAGCCCUAUAACGACACGGGCUUUCACCCGCUUUAACUAGCAUGUCAAGCCUAGGUAAGGUUCUUCGCGUUGCAUCGAAUUAAACCACAUGCUCCACCGCUUGUGCGGGCCCCCGUCAAUUCCUUUGAGUUUUAAUCUUGCGACCGUACUCCCCAGGCGGAUAACUUAAUGCGUUAGCUGCGCCACCCAAGCACCAUGUGCCCGGACAGCUAGUUAUCAUCGUUUACGGCGUGGACUAC